UGAGGGUGAUUCCCAAACUUUGGACAGCUGGGAUUUAACAAGGUGAGAGAGAUUCUAGAAUCCCAUUUUCAGUUGCCAGAGGGAUAGGAACACGUAUUUGUUGUUUCCUUAUAAUUUGUUCUUAAUUUGUUAUUCCACUCUUCUGUUUUUAGACCUCUGCCAAGCUGGUGAACCAGGCAGCCCUUGCCCAUUGCAUUGGCAUCAUGGGGAAUCUGUGUGCAGAUGUAGUCAUCCGAAUGCAGAUGGCUGAGUGCAAAGAGUGCUGGCAAGCAUGCUUAAAGCUUGUGGAUGAAUGUUUUGAUGUCAGCACACCCAAAUACCAGGAGUGUUUGUUUGCAGUGCUGGGCCUAAUGAUGAAUUUACUGCUUGAAUCAAAUGUGAUCAUACAGUACUUUGCUGUGGACAUAAGUGGCAGGUGCAUGUCUCUUCUCAGCGAUAAGGAUGGAAGGAUUGUGACAGUAAGUGGGAUAUCUAUGGACUAACAAAAGAUUGUAUUAGGUUACCUGACCUGAACACUUCAGUGCAAACUGCUGCCCUGUGCAAGUCUGUACAUUAGGCUUUGAAGCCUAAAACUUUCAUAAUUAUUAGUAGUAAAGAAACAAUAUGCCACUUAUAUUAUUCAGGUUUUUAUAUUGUUUGAUGCAAGAGGUUCUCAAUGGUCUCUUGAAAUCUACUUAAUAGAAGCUCUUACAAAUCAUUUCAUCCUUGGGAUGUUUUUCAAUAUAAAACUCUUUAAAAAAAAAAAAAAAGCAAGAACAAUUUGGGUGUUUAGCAGCUGUUUCUUUUUACAAUUCUUGUAUGUGAAUCAUACCUAGGAGAUUGUACUUCUAUUAAUGGGUAGGAGCAGAUGUGGACUUGGUGUCUGUUCACCUCUCUGAACUCACAUGAAUUGUUCUCAUCUGUUUUACUUGACUCAAUACCAGCAAAGCUAGGCUGGUUUCUGCUGGGACUUUGUUUCCAUAAAUAAACGUACAGUGAGUUGUCCUGAUCUCAGUUUGGUCUCAUCUCUCUCUACA
rnacentral:lncRNA from 1 species